rnacentral:tRNA from 1 species
GAACGGGGCGGUCUCGAAAACCGUUGUGGGCGCAAGUCCACCGAGGGUUCGAAUCCCUCUCUCUCCGCCA